CCUACGGGUGGCAGCAGUGAGGAAUAUUGGUCAAUGGCCGAGAGUCUGAACCAGCCAAGUAGCGUGAAGGAUGACUGCCCUAUGGGUUGUAACCCUCUUUUAUAAAGGAAUAAAACGAGCCACGUGUGCCUUUUUGCAUGUACUUUAUGAAUAAGGCUCGGCUAACUCCGUGCCAGCAGCCGCGGUAAUACGGAGGAUUCGAGCGUUAUCCGGAUUUUUUGGGUUUAAAGGGAGCGUAGAUGGGUUGUUAAGUCAGUUGGGAAAGUUUGCGGCUCAACCGUAAGAUUGCAAUUGAUACUGGCGGUCUUGAGUACAGUUGAGGUAUGCGGAAUUCGUGGUGUAGCGGUGAAAUGCAUAGAUAUCACGAAGAACCCCGAUUGCGAAGGCAGCUUACUAAACUGGGACUGACAUUGAUGCUCGAAAGUGUGGGUAUCAAACAGGAUUAGAUACCCCUGUAGUC
rnacentral:rRNA from 1 species